GACGAACCGUGCGAACGUUAUUCGGAAUCACUGGGCUUAAAGCGCGUGUAGGCGGGACGGCACGUCGGUCGCUGAAAUCCCCCGGCUCAACCGGGGAACGGGCGCCGAUACGACCGCCCUGGAGGGACGUAGGGGGACCUGGAACUUCCGGUGGAGCGGUGAAAUGCGUAGAGAUCGGAAAGAACACCAACGGCGAAAGCACUCUGCUGGGCCGACACUGACACUGAGAGACGAAAGCUAGGGGGAGCGAAUGGG
rnacentral:rRNA from 1 species